GGGGAACCUGCCCCACUAGUCUGGGAUACCACUUGGAAACAGGUGCUAAUACCGGAUAAGAAAGCAGAUCGCAUGAUCAGCUUUUAAAAGGCGGCGUAAGCUGUCGCUAUGGGAUGGCCCCGCGGUGCAUUAGCUAGUUGGUAAGGUAAAGGCUUACCAAGGCGAUGAUGCAUAGCCGAGUUGAGAGACUGAUCGGCCACAUUGGGACUGAGACACGGCCCAA
rnacentral:rRNA from 1 species